UACAGAGGGGGCAAGCGUUAUUCGGAAUUAUUGGGCGUAAAGGGCGCGUAGGCGGCGAUUCAAGUGACGGGUGAAAUCCCUCGGCUUAACCGAGGAACUGCCUGUCAGACUGGAUUGCUUGAGGCCGGGAGAGCGAGUGGAAUUCCCAGUGUAGCGGUGAAAUGCGUAGAUAUUGGGAGGAACACCAGUGGCGAAGGCGGCUCGCUGGACCGGUUCUGACGCUGAGGCGCGAAAGCGUGGGGAGCAAACAGG
rnacentral:rRNA from 1 species